UACAGAGGUGGCAAGCGUUGUUCGGAAUUACUGGGCGCAAAGGGCGCGUAGGCGGCCUGUUAAGUCGAACGUGAAAUCCCCGGGCUCAACCCGGGAACUGCGUCCGAUACUGGCAGGCUUGAAUUCGGGAGAGGGAUGUGGAAUUCCAGGUGUAGCGGUGAAAUGCGUAGAUAUCUGGAGGAACACCGGUGGCGAAGGCGGCAUCCUGGACCGAUAUUGACGCUGAUGCGCGAAAGCCAGGGGAGCAAACAGG
rnacentral:rRNA from 1 species